AUUCAUCUUCGAAUCGGAGACUUUUAAGAUAUAGAUUUUUUGAGUUGCAGGAUUCCGUUUAGAUGUGUAUGUCUGGUUCUAACCCUGCUACUGAGUGCUGUGUUCUUCAAAAUAGGACAGUGACUCACUUUACAGUGCCUAAAUUGUUCUACAAAUGAGUGCCAAGUGACUCUCCAUGAUCACCCACAGGUACAAAUCUGGUCUCAACCCGGAAUUCCUAUUGACUCGUAAUCGGAAUCAGCACAUUUCCUGGAUAUUUUGUUUUUGAUAUGUGGAGGUUGUUCAGAAAGUAUGAAUGUAGUACUCGGUACUUAGAAUCCAUAAAAAACGGUAAGUAUGUAAUGUUGUAAUAUCGUUUCGAACUAUCAGAAGACGUCUGAUAGACCAGAAGACCAGAUAGCACAAAAUUUAAAGAUAGCGUUUUACCAGAAAUCAUCAACUUUGGUCUGUUAAUGAUAUAAAAAGGUUUUCUUCUCUAACAAACCUUCGUUUAGAACUUAAAAUCUCCUAAUGGACGUGAACGUGUCUGGUGAGAAGAAAGAGAUAGUAAAGUUUUACUUUGAGGCCCAUACAUCAAAAAUAAUAUAAGCUGAAAUAAAAUUUUAAAUAAGGAUUGUGAAGAAAGCCAGAAUGGAUCGAAUUAGAAACAAAACUAUAAGAGACGAUUUAGAAUAAAUAACUAAGUAACUGAAAUAGAAAACAAGCAGCUGAGUUGGUAUGGACACCUAGUCAGAACGCCAGAAGAAAGAAUUCCAAGAAGAGUAAUGGAAAUGGGAAUAGUUGGAAAACGAAGGAGAGGCAGGCCAAGAAUAAAAUGGGAGGAUGGAGAUACUGCGCAAGAGAGGAGGAAGUGAAGAAUAUGGAAAGGAACUAACAUAGUUUUAGAAGAUAGAUAGAGGAUCCCAACAACACCCCAACAUUGUGAUGGCGUCUGGGGAGAAAUGAUAAAGAAGAAGAAAUUCUAAGCGUUCAUUAUAAUUUAAUUUUUAUUAAUGUAAUUACUUAAGUUUAAUAAAGUGACAUUUCGUUCAUUAAAUCAUCUUUUAUCAGUGUAACUUAAGCAUAUAUCAGGCUAAUUUUCUUUAUCAUUAUAUAUA
rnacentral:lncRNA from 1 species